ACGGGAGGCAGCAGUGGGGAAUAUUGGGCAAUGGGCGCAAGCCUGACCCAGCAACGCCGCGUGAAGGAUGAAGGUCUUCGGAUUGUAAACUUCUUUGAUCAGGGACGAAUAAUGACGGUACCUAAAGAACAAGUCACGGCUAACUACGUGCCAGCAGCCGCGGUAAUACGUAGGUGACAAGCGUUAUCCGGAUUUACUGGGUGUAAAGGGCGUGUAGGCGGUUUGGCAAGUCAGAAGUGAAAUUCCCGGGCUUAACUUGAGCGCUGCUUCUGAAACUGCUUAACUUGAGUACUGGAGAGGAUAGUGGAAUUCCUAGUGUAGCGGUGAAAUGCACAGAUAUUAGGAGGAACACCGGUGGCGAAGGCGGCUAUCUGGACAGUAACUGACGCUGAGGCGCGAAAGCACGGGGAGCAAACAGGAUUAGAUACCCUGGUA
rnacentral:rRNA from 1 species